rnacentral:rRNA from 1 species
AGAGUUUGAUCCCGGCUCAGGAUGAACGCUGGCGGCGUGCUUAACACAUGCAAGUCGAACGAUCCUUCGGGAUAGUGGCGGACGGGUGAGUAACGCGUGGGAAUCUGCCCUCAGGAGGGGGAUAACGGCUGGAAACGGCCGCUAAUACCCCAUAUGCCGAGAGGUGAAAUGAAUUUCGCCUGAGGAUGAGCCCGCGUCUGAUUAGCUAGUUGGUGGGGUAAAGGCCUACCAAGGCGACGAUCAGUAGCUGGUCUGAGAGGAUGAUCAGCCACACUGGGACUGAGACACGGCCCAGACUCCUACGGGAGGCAGCAGUGGGGAAUUUUCCGCAAUGGGCGAAAGCCUGACGGAGCAACGCCGCGUGAGGGAUGAAGGCCUCUGGGCUGUAAACCUCUUUUCUCAAGGAAGAAGAACUGACGGUACUUGAGGAAUAAGCCACGGCUAAUUCCGUGCCAGCAGCCGCGGUAAUACGGGAGUGGCAAGCGUUAUCCGGAAUUAUUGGGCGUAAAGCGUCCGCAGCCGGCCUUGUAAGUCUGUUGUUAAAGCGCGGAGCUCAACUCCAUUUAAGCAAUGGAAACUACAAGGCUGGAGUGUGGUAGGGGCAGAGGGAAUUCCCGGUGUAGCGGUGAAAUGCGUAGAUAUCGGGAAGAACACCAGUGGCGAAGGCGCUCUGCUGGGCCAUAACUGACGCUCAUGGACGAAAGCCAGGGGAGCGAAAGGGAUUAGAUACCCCUGUAGUCCUGGCCGUAAACGAUGAACACUAGGUGUCGGGGGGAUCGACCCCCUCGGUGUCGUAGCCAACGCGUUAAGUGUUCCGCCUGGGGAGUACGCACGCAAGAGUGAAACUCAAAGGAAUUGACGGGGGCCCGCACAAGCGGUGGAGUAUGUGGUUUAAUUCGAUGCAACGCGAAGAACCUUACCAGGGUUUGACAUCCUGCGAAUCCCUUGGAAACGAGGGAGUGCCUUCGGGAGCGCAGUGACAGGUGGUGCAUGGCUGUCGUCAGCUCGCUCGUGAGAUGUUGGGUUAAGUCCCGCAACGAGCGCAACCCACGUCUUUAGUUGCCAGCAUUCAGUUGGGCACUCUAGAGAGACCGCCGGUGAUAAACCGGAGGAAGGUGUGGAUGACGUCAAGUCAUCAUGCCCCUUACAUCCUGGGCUACACACGUACUACUAUGCUACGGACAAAGGGCAGCAAGCUCGCGAGAGUUAGCAAAUCCCAUAAACCGUGGCUCAGUUCAGAUCGUAGGCUGCAACUCGCCUACGUGAAGGAGGAAUCGCUAGUAAUCGCAGGUCAGCAUACUGCGGUGAAUACGUUCCCGGGCCUUGUACACACCGCCCGUCACACCAUGGAGGUUGGCCAUGCCCGAAGUCGUUACUCCAACCCUUGUGGAUGAGGACGCCGAAGGUGGGGCUGAUGACUGGGGUGAAGUCGUAACAAGGUA